UAUCUUAUAAUUCUGGCGCUAACAAAACGGUGGGAGUAAGAGGAUCAGUUGCUUAUAUUCCAAAUGCGCUCGCUCUCUCUUUAUAUAUUCCCAAAACGGUGGUGUUUUACCACCGCACAGAACAGCUCACGAGUUAUGGGAUUGGCCUCCAUUGUUAACGGUGGCGUCCAAAUUCCAUUCAACUUAGAUCGCCGCGUGCUCAGGGUUUCACCUUCACCUUCCAAAUGCUCUCAACUCCACUUUCUUCACCAUCCUAUCUCUUCCUUUUCCUCAGUGUAUCAUUAUCGUCGUCCUCACCGUGUUCCGGUUCUAUGCUCCAGACGAAUUGAAGUAAAGAGGAUUAGUGUUCAACCAAGUGAUGACAGUAACGAAAUUGAGAAAUGUCGUACUCAGGAAGAAUCUCUGGGAAAUGAAACUUACAGCUCCUCUGUUCAAACUGUAGCCUUAUGGGUCUGCACUGCAGUGGCAUUUGGUGUCGGUUUGGGUGUUAAAGAAGGUUUUGGCAAGGCAUCCGAAUUCUUUGCUGGAUACAUAUUGGAGCAAAGUCUUUCCGUAGAUAAUCUCUUUGUCUUUGUUCUAAUAUUCAAAUACUUCAAAGUGCCAACUUCGUAUCAGAACCGUGUACUUUCCUAUGGUAUUGCUGGUGCAGUUGUCUUUCGCCUGACAAUAAUACUUCUUGGAACAGCCACCCUUCAGAGGUUUGAGGCAGUCAACCUUCUAUUGGCAGCAAUAUUACUAUACUCAUCAUUUAAGUUAUUUGCCAGUGAAGAAGAUGAGUCUGACUUAUCUGAUAACUUUGUGGUGAAGACAUGCAGGAAAUUUAUCCCUAUAACAACACAUUAUGAUGGAAAUCGGUUCAUAACAAAUCAGGAUGGGAUGUGGAAAGCCACCCCUUUGCUUCUUACUGUAGCAGUUAUUGAGCUCAGUGACAUUGCAUUUGCAGUUGACUCAAUACCUGCAGUUUUUGGUGUAACACGAGAUCCAUUUGUAGUCUUUACUUCUAACCUUUUUGCAAUUUUGGGUUUAAGGUCACUUUAUUCAAUAAUUUCCGGGGGUAUGUCAGAGUUGAAGUACUUACAGCCGUCCAUUGCGGUUGUUCUCGGAUUUAUUGGGUCUAAGAUGAUCCUGGACUACUUUGGAAUCCAUGUUUCAACGGAGGCAUCUCUUGGUUUUGUAGCCUCAAGUCUCACCAUUGGAGUGCUAUUAAGUCUGGCUAAGAAGUCUGACUAGCUUAAAAAGUAAAUUCCAACUUGGGAUGGAUUGAGCUCUAUAUGAUUGCAUAUACUUACCAAGCAAUGGCACCAUCCUCCUCCCCCGUUCCUUCUAUUAUCUUGUAAACCUUGUAGAAAGAAUGAUUUGAUUUGAUUCGUUGGUGUCAAUUGCCAAUUGAGGAGUCAUUUGUAGCCUGUGCUAUGGCUCAAGUUGAUGCUAAACGCCAAAGAAUAAUUAAAGUGCCAACAUUUGGUAUCACAUCCAAGUUUUAUGAAUCCGCACCCGUGUCAGCAAUCAAACUACAAAUUCAGCGAAGAAAGUAUAAAUGUUUUUUAAGUGGUAGUAAAAUCUAUUAUUGAAAAGUUCGGUAGGACUAAACACAUAAUUCUAAGUUUGAUGUUGAAAUUUAUGUGUAAAUAAAAACAUUACUUUGAAGAGUUUUUUUUUUUUUUUUUCUUUCUUUAGUGCAUGAACCUUUUGGUAAUAUUAGAGGGCUCAAGCAGCCCAAAAAAAAACAAAGAAAAG